GGUUGCCCCCGACACUAGCUGGAUGUAGCAAUGAUGCGAAGGAGAAGGAAUUUCUGAAGAUCAGGUUCUCACCUGUGGAAUGAAAGACCUGCAGUUGGUGGUGUGGGUUCUCCUGGGGCUGGGGGAAGGGAAGGGAGUCUCAGUAGAGCCCUUUUUUAUGCAGAACAGAGGCGAUUUAGAACCACUUGAAUGACGCAGGGUUUGGAGUGCUACUCUUGGUACUCCUUCCCUCUCACCCUGUCAUUUUGGAUAUCAGCUGAUUAGGCCUCUGUGCAGUUUAGCGUCAUUCCCAAAAGCAGAGGCUGGG
rnacentral:lncRNA from 1 species